CGAAGACUUGAACACGUGACUCAGGGAAUCUGGAAAAGAUCCCAGAUUAGACAAGAUAAAAAAAGGACUUCUUGCACAAGUUACGAUUAUUCAGUUCUCUAACACUGGGGAAAAGGCACUCUAGUGUUUAGCUGAGGUAUGCAAUGACUUCAUUUGUCUGGGACGAUCACACAAGGGGAAGCAUGCGGCCACAAGGCAGUGAGAGGAACAAAGGGAUAUUCAUUGAGUUGGAAGUUUGAAUUGUGAAAAUGGGGAGUAAAUAGACACUAGGAGGCAAGGAACUGGCAAUAUGCUGUUUCACAAGACGUACCUGGAUGCCAUGAUCAGUGGACCUUUGUAGAAAUGUGGCAUUGGCUUUUGUCUCAGGUCUGGGGCUCUGGGCGCGCCAGUAACGCCGUGUUAGGCCUAAGUUGGAAGGCUCGUGGCGGACAUCCGUCCGAGGUCACGACUGGAGUUGACUGAGGGCGAAGGCAGGUGUGUUUCCUGGGUGUUGGGGGUCAGCUUAACCCCCCAAGAGCAAGGCAUCCUGGAAACAAACCAUACAGCCAGCAGAGGGUUCACAGGAAAAAGAGCUUAAGACGUAGGACUAAUAAGUACCAGGCUACCUACAUCCUUCCCUUUGGGAUACGUCCCUAAAGCUGACAAGAGCCUAUAUUCCCCCUCUCUAGCGGGAAAUUCCUAUCUCUGGCUGGGGUGUUUUGGUUUACCGCCUAAAAAUCAGCUGAUAUUUGGGUAAAUGGCUGCUUUUCUAGCAAUCACAAUAUUUAACUAAAUGCUGGGUAGACGAGGAGAUCAAUAAACGUAGCAAUAUAUAUAUAUUGCUACGUCUAUAGAACGCCUCGCCUUCCCAGCAGAGUUUUAGUGAUAUUUAAUUAUAAAAGUAGCAGCCAUGCCUUCUCCUAAGGUAACUGUUGUUGGGAGAGUGGGUAUGUCGUAGGGAAGAUAUUUCCGGUCUGACGGAAGCUUAGGGUAAGAGAGGCAAGUCACAAGAGUAGCUAGGCUUCGAGAUGGAUUUUAGGGACUUCUACAAUAAGACCUAUUUUCCUUCCCAAUUUGCUGGCGUUGUGUUUACCACCUUUCAGGCAAUGCUCGAGGCGGUCUUUGGAAGCCCCGUGAUUCGAAAACAACCAGUAUUGAUCUCAGUCAACUGCAGUCGGUAGUCCAGGACAGAUGUCCAGCCGGCCAGCCUCCCAAAACUUAGGCCUACCCACGGCGUACUGGUGGACACGAACCCCAGACCUGAACAGAGGUCAGGCCGCAUUCUUCUACAAGGAUACACUGAAUAUUGCAUAAAGAUUCCAUGAGUCACGUGCCGUCUCUCUGCCCGCAAGUGUGCAUUACCCCAAGUGUAUGAAAACCAGCUAUAACAGCUCCAGUGGAGCCAUCAUUUACCUUUUCUCCAGCCCAGCACGGGCCUUUUUGUAAAUAAAUAGCUAUCAAGAUCUCGAAGUCCAACACAAGAAAAGAGCAGAGCAGAAGUAGGUCAAAGUCUGCAGAUCACGAUUCUGAAUCUGAUGAUGGGAAGUAAGCCUCAUAUGAAAAGAAAAAAAUAUAGGUUUGCUGCUCGUCUAGAUGUGCUUAUAAUUACAAGAGGAGACUUCAGACAUCACGAUGGUGUUACACAAAGCAUAAUUUUAGAUCCAGAAAUUGCUUUCCUCAGCUGCAUUGAUAGUUAAUUAUAACCCCUUAAUUAUAGUAAUUAACAAUGGUUAGAAGACUUGGCCAGUGAUAGAAGUCCCUUACUAAUAUGAUCUUGGACUUGCUUCUGCUUUGUAUAAUAUCAUGACCAACACAUGAUUGGAUAUUUAAUCAUUUUCCUCCACCAGUGAUCAUCCUACUGAUGUUGCUAUUAACCAGUGUUUAUGUGAUAAACUCUUCAAUUAUUACUUGAUGUGGAAACCUGUAGUUGUACAGUGCUAGAGUAUUUAGGGUAUACAAGGCUGAGAAUGAAUGAGAACUUAGUAAAUGGCAAUAGAUGAAAUAUGGUCUAUGAAAAUGAAUAAGUGACAGAUAGUGCUCAUAAUAAUAGGAGUGUUGAGCUAAUGAUGUUUAUCCAAUGACAUGCGUAGAGAACACACAGUUGACUGUUUCUACCUCUUUCAUUAGGUAUUUGAAGUUCACUGGUAAUUUAUAGUAUAUAUGAUGGCAUUAUUUUGACAGUACUUCAUGUGGUAUUUUUUUAUUUUAAAGUACUGGAAGCAGAGUUUUAUACUUGGAAAGUGUAGGAAACACAGUUAAUUCACAUGUAAAGAGCCUUCACAGGAUUCUUGAGGGAUUAAGCCUUUGAAGUUGCCAUGAAUCCAGCUACAGUACUAGUUUACACAAAGAAAGGUUGUUAAAUUACCCACUUUGUACCAAAUCUCAAUAUUUUCGGUUUCUUGAGUUUAGUAGUAAACGGUUUAGGUCAAAAUGUUGCUUUGAAGACCCUUAUUACAUCACCUUGCUUGCUUCUUAGAUUAUGUAAAUUGUGUAGUUAUAGUUUUCAUAGUUUGUUUUCUCAUAAGGGAGCGUUUCUUGGUGAAUUGGCUUUAUUUUUGGCGAGACAUUUGGUGCUUAGUGUUAAAACAAAAACUUUUUGUUCUAAGUGCAAUCUUAGUUACCCCCUACUGCCAACAGUAGUAAUCAUUACCAUAACUCUAACAUUUUUAGCAAAGAAUAGUACUGAAUGCAAGUUUUCUUUGUUUGUGCUUUAGGCAGGGUUUUUCAUCCGCAACUGCAUCCUAAACUCAUGUAUAUAUAAGAAUGUAUCUAAAGUGUAAAAAUUUUUAAUGCAGGGAAUACAAUGUAAAAUAUUUUGGUGCAGGGAAUACUGUACAAUGUACAGAAUUUGUAUCCCAACUGAAUUUUGAGUUCAGAGUCACUGCUAGUUUUUUGUUUUUAACAGUUUGGUAUUAGAUGACAUUUCAGCAGCUGGUUUGAAUAGUUAGUUUUUUCUACAGUAAUUAUGGGAAAAAUUAAGGUUGUAUGUUUGGUUUAUCAUGUUGGUCAACAUAGGUUUUAUUUUGCCUUUUGUGCUAUAAGCAGUGUUCUAUAUACCUAAUGAGAUACAAAUUUGUGUGAAGCAGAUAUGUAUGGAAGUUUUCUCAUGUGUUUGAAUUUAUAGAAAUAUACAUACUCUUAUCUGUUUUUGAUGAAUGUUGAACUGUAUAUAAUUAGGUGUUUGUGUGUAAAUGUUAGAUGAUAUGAUGUUGUUAAACUACAAUAAAGUUUUGUACAUACUUACCUGGCAGAUAUA